AGAGUUUGAUCAUGGCUCAGGACGAACGCUGGCGGCGUGCUUAACACAUGCAAGUCGAACGGUGACGGGGAGCUUGCUCCCCUGAUCAGUGGCGAACGGGUGAGUAACACGUGGGCAACCUGCCCCUAGCUCUGGGAUAACUCCGGGAAACCGGGGCUAAUACCGGAUACGACAUCGAGUGACAUCACUUGAUGUGGAAAGUUUUUCGGCUAGGGAUGGGCCCGCGGCCUAUCAGCUUGUUGGUGGGGUAACGGCCCACCAAGGCGACGACGGGUAGCCGGCCUGAGAGGGCGACCGGCCACACUGGGACUGAGACACGGCCCAGACUCCUACGGGAGGCAGCAGUGGGGAAUAUUGCGCAAUGGGCGAAAGCCUGACGCAGCGACGCCGCGUGAGGGACGAAGGCCUUCGGGUUGUAAACCUCUUUCAGCAGGGACGAAGCCGCAAGGUGACUGUACCUGCAGAAGAAGCACCGGCUAACUACGUGCCAGCAGCCGCGGUA
rnacentral:rRNA from 1 species